AGUGUUGUGUGAGCAGUCGAACAAGAUGAGAAGUUUUGUGCCAUUCCUGGUUGUCGUGUUUCUUGCGUACACGUACGCUGCCCCAGGGGAAUCUUCAAUCAACUAUGGCGAUGUGGCGGCAUCAUCCGGCGCUACUGCUUUUGGAGGAAGCAUGAAAAGCUCAAGUAUUUCAAGUUGCUCGUCUACUUGUUUGGAGGACGCUAAAAAACAAUUUUUGGAAGAUCUGUGCGCACCAACACAUGUUAAAAAAAUUCGUAAAAAAUUGUGCUCAUGAAGACAGUCUAAAUGAUAACUUGUUAUUUAGCACCGAUUUAUAAAAAAAGGUAAUCUGAAAAAUAUUAUAAUGUAAAUGAAAAUUGAAAUAAAAAGAUUUUGUAAAUA